AACGCAGGCGGUCUUUUAAGUCUGAUGUGAAAGCCUUCGGCUUAACCGAAGUCGUGCAUUGGAAACUGGGAGACUUGAGUGCAGAAGAGGAGAGUGGAACUCCAUGUGUAGCGGUGAAAUGCGUAGAUAUAUGGAAGAACACCAGUGGCGAAAGCGGCUCUCUGGUCUGUAACUGACGCUGAGGUUCGAAAGCGUGGGUAGCAAACA
rnacentral:rRNA from 1 species